AUCCAACGGAAGAAUCCAAAUAGGACGAAACACGCGUCAAACUGGAU
rnacentral:hammerhead_ribozyme from 1 species